rnacentral:rRNA from 1 species
AUUGAACGCUGGCGACAGGCCUAACACAUGCAAGUCGGGCGAGCGGCAGACGUGUGAGUAAUGUAUUGUGAUCUGACUAAUGGAGGGGGAUAACUACUGGAAACGGUAGCUAAUACCGCAUACCAUCAGAUGAACCCAUAUGGGAUUAGCUAGUAGGUGAGGGAACGGCUCACCUAGGCGACGAACCCUAGCUGAGCUGAGUGGAUGAUCAGCCACACUGGAAAUGCGACACUGCCCAGACUCCUACGGGAGGAAGCAGUGGGGAAUAUUGCACAAUGGGCGCAAGCCUGAUGCAGCCAUGCCGCGUGUAUGAAGAAGGCCUUCGGGUUGUAAAGUACUUUCAGUCGGGAGGCGUUACCGACAGAAGAAGCACCGGCUAACUCCGUGCCAGCAGCCGCGGUAAUAC